rnacentral:rRNA from 1 species
UGCCAGCCGCCGCGGUAAUACGGAGUGUGCAAGCGUUGUUCGGAAUCACUGGGCGUAAAGCGCGCGUAGGCGGCAAGGUAAGUCAGAUGUGAAAUCCCUCGGCUCAACCGAGGAACUGCAUUUGAAACUGCCUGGCUUGAGUACGGGAGGGGAGAGCGGAAUUCCCAGUGUAGAGGUGAAAUUCGUAGAUAUUGGGAGGAACACCAGCGGCGAAGGCGGCUCUCUGGACCGAUACUGACGCUGAGGCGCGAAAGCGUGGGGAGCAAACAGGAUUAGAUA